rnacentral:rRNA from 1 species
GACGAAGGGGGCUAGCGUUGUUCGGAAUUACUGGGCGUAAAGCGAGUGUAGGUGGUUUUCCAAGUUGGAUGUGAAAGCCUUGAGCUCAACUCAAGAAAUGCAUUCAGGACUGGAAGACUAGAGGACCGGAGAGGAUAGUGGAAUUCCCUGUGUAGUGGUGAAAUACGUAGAGAUUGGGAAGAACACCAGUGGCGAAGGCGGCUAUCUGGACGGUUUCUGACACUAAGACUCGAAAGCGUGGGGAGCAAACAGG